AGCUCGACACCUACGGAGGCAGCAGUGAGGGAUAUUGGUCAAUGGGGGAAACCCUGAACCAGCAACGCCGCGUGAGGGAUGACGGUCUUCGGAUUGUAAACCUCUGUCCUCUGUGAAGAUAAUGACGGUAGCAGAGGAGGAAGCUCCGGCUAACUACGUGACAGCAGCCGCGGUAAUCUGAGCGGGCUGGCAAGGC
rnacentral:rRNA from 1 species